rnacentral:rRNA from 1 species
CCUACGGGUGGCAGCAGUGGGGAAUAUUGGACAAUGGGCGAAAGCCUGAUCCAGCCAUGCCGCGUGUGUGAAGAAGGCCUUCGGGUUGUAAAGCACUUUCAGUGGGGAAGAAAGCCUUGGGGCUAAUACCCUCGAGGAAGGACAUCACCCACAGAAGAAGCACCGGCUAACUCCGUGCCAGCAGCCGCGGUAAUACGGAGGGUGCGAGCGUUAAUCGGAAUUACUGGGCGUAAAGCGCGCGUAGGCGGUCUGAUAAGCCGGUUGUGAAAGCCCCGGGCUCAACCUGGGAACGGCAUCCGGAACUGUCAGGCUAGAGUGCAGGAGAGGAAGGUAGAAUUCCCGGUGUAGCGGUGAAAUGCGUAGAGAUCGGGAGGAAUACCAGUGGCGAAGGCGGCCUUCUGGACUGACACUGACGCUGAGGUGCGAAAGCGUGGGUAGCAAACAGGAUUAGACACCCCUGUAGUC